GCAUAUUGGCUAGACAUCUGUUUUUCUCUACAUUGUGCAACAGAGGGCAUCGGUUCAAUCAUAUUGGUAUAACAAAAUGUGAUACUGGAUCGUGUUCUAUUUUGAACGCAUCAAAACAAAGAUUGGCGCGCCCGUACUGCCUCACUAUCUGUAAUGAAUGAGUCCCGUUUGCUGGAAUGCGAUAGAUUACACUAUUAAUUGUUAAUGUGUACAGAAGAUGAUAACGAGCACUAAUGUUUCACGUCAUUGACUAGUUCAGGUCCUCUGGUCUGCUAAACGUAGCUACAGUUAUAAAACUUUCCAACAAAAUCACUGCGUAGUUUAUAAUAUCAUAAUCGCGACGUGAUUAUCUUAAUUGCGGGGCGUGGUGACGAGGUGUCGUCGAGAGUAUAUUAUCGUGUGUCGAUUGUCUCUAGAGAAGGAGGAGAUAACAGAGUUAGUCAUGAGAGUGUCACGUGCUCUGCUGUUCAUCCAACUACCAUAACAAUCACAAUAGUUAUACACCGCAAAACCAAGUUAGGUCAUCUUUCAUUGGUAGAAAUUUACUACGCAGUAGACCGUGCUUAUCACUGAUAGUGUAUAUCUAGGGCGUAAAUUAUCGAUUCUGAUACUACAAAUCCUACCACUACGAUUACUGAUAGUAACUGAUAAGGAUUACAGAGACGACGAUAUCAGGAUUGGUGACUAAAAAGAAAAUAAACAGGUCAGAUAUAAUUAAUUUACUGUCGACAACGCAAAAGCAGAUAAGCUGAUAUCUAAUAAUAAUAUACCAUCAAAGUGCAUAUAAAUAAUCCUUAAAUAUUAGAAAAGAAACAGAAAUAAAUAAUAGAUCCCGAUACUUAUAAGUUAUUUGCAAGAUGGAUGGUAUAGCACGAGACGACAGGUGACGCCCACGUUCGCAUCGUUGCGUGAAAGUGGACACAUAGGUUGGAGUGGAAGCCCUAUGGCGGUUUGAAUUAUUGGCCGUCGACUCUGUGCGGAUGACACAACUAUUUGCGUAUUAUUUUUUCAGCGUGGCAGAUAAAGCCAAUGAGCUGCAUGUAGAAGUAAUCGAUGAAUAUAAAUUAAUGAAACAUAGACGAUUGAAACUGGAUAUGAGUUAUAAACUGUAUUGAAGCUACAUUGAGGCAAAUAAAACGUUUAAUUUUUAAUAGCACUGUUUAUGGAUUUAAAAGGCAAUUAUUUUACAUUAUAAUUAUAUCAAAAUAUGGCUGUAUCGUAUAUAAAAUAUAAACGUACUAGCAUAAUUUCAAGUAAGUGUUAUAUGCGACUUUGGGAUUUUUUUCUAAAUUUGUUUCAGUGAUUUAAACUAGAAAACGUUAUGGGAACUGUAGUAGUAGUAGUAAAAAACUUUAUUGUACAUAAUUCAUACUGAAUACAUUAAAAGAUUUAAUUGUGGCAACUGUA